UACGAAGGGGGCUAGCGUUGCUCGGAAUUACUGGGCGUAAAGCGCACGUAGGCGGAUCUUUAAGUCAGGGGUGAAAUCCUGGAGCUCAACUCCAGAACUGCCUUUGAUACUGAGGACCUUGAGUUCGGGAGAGGUGAGUGGAACUGCGAGUGUAGGGGUGAAAUUCGUAGAUAUUCGCAAGAACACCAGUGGCGAAGGCGGCUCACUGGCCCGAUACUGACGCUGAGGUGCGAAAGCGUGGGGAGCAAACAGG
rnacentral:rRNA from 1 species